rnacentral:rRNA from 1 species
UACGUAGGGGGCUAGCGUUGUCCGGAAUCAUUGGGCGUAAAGCGCGUGUAGGCGGUCCGGUAAGUCCGCUGUGAAAGUCGAGGGCUCAACCCUCGAAUGCCGGUGGAUACUGUCGGGCUUGAGUACGGGAGAGGCGAGUGGAAUUCCUGGUGUAGCGGUGAAAUGCGCAGAUAUCGGGAGGAACACCGGUGGCGAAGGCGGCUCUCUGGACCACUACUGACGCUGAGGCGCGAAAGCUAGGGGAGCAAACAGG